rnacentral:rRNA from 1 species
GUCAGUGGCGGACGGGUGAGUAUCGCGUAGGAAUAUGUCCGGAGGUGGGGGACAACCCUGGGAAACUGGGGCUAAUACCGCAUAUGAGCUGAGGCUCAAAGCCGUAAGGCGCCUUUGGAGUAGCCUGCGUCCGAUUAGCUUGUUGGUGGGGUAAAGGCCUACCAAGGCGACGAUCGGUAGCUGGUCUGAGAGGACGACCAGCCACACUGGGACUGAGACACGGCCCAGACUCC